rnacentral:rRNA from 1 species
ACGGGAGGCAGCAGUGGGGAAUAUUGCACAAUGGGGGAAACCCUGAUGCAGCCAUGCCGCGUGUGUGAAGAAGGCCUUCGGGUUGUAAAGCUCUUUCGCAAGAGAAGAAACGGUAUAGGUUAAUAGCCUAUGCUAAUGACGGUAUCUUGACAAGAAGCACCGGCUAACUACGUGCCAGCAGCCGCGGUAAUACGUAGGGUCCGAGCGUUAUCCGGAAUUAUUGGGUUUAAAGGGUCCGUAGGCGGGUCUUUAAGUCAGUGGUGAAAGCCUGCAGCUUAACUGUAGAAUUGCCAUUGAUACUGGAGACCUUGAGUACACUUGAAGUAAGCGGAAUGUGUCAUGUAGCGGUGAAAUGCUUAGAUAUGACCCAGAACACCG